CGGCCUCUGUUAAUAUGUCGU
rnacentral:siRNA from 1 species